GGGGAUUCCAUUAUAAGAGGUGUGGAGAUGGACAAUGGUGGUCUUGUGAGAUGUCUUCCCGGAGCUACUGCUCACAGAGACAGGAGACGUAUCUGUAAUAUUGUUAAGCAAGCAAAGCAGGAAGGGGAAUUGGAUGUACUUGUCCAUCUAGGGACAAAUGACUUGGCUUGCAAUGAGGUUUCAGAGGUUAAGGAAGUUUUUAGUGUUUUUGCCAAUGAUAUAC